AAAGCCAAUUUCAUCACAGC
rnacentral:snRNA from 1 species